UGGAAGAUGCCUGGCGAUGGAUUAAUGGCUGGGAGAACAAAUGAAGUCUUGGAGAGAGUUUAUAUCUUUCAAUACAAAGCAAAAAAGUGGAUGGCUAUUUUAUUUUAUACUGGUCCUCCGCACAGUUUGCCUGCAUUAGCACACCUCUGAAACAGCACUGACUUUCACCGUACAUGAGAAGGAGAAUAGGAUGAAAUCUACUUACUGCAUUGAAAUGAGGUUCAUCAGGAGUGGAGGAAGGUCACCGUCAACCUAUGAGGGAAUAUGAAAGCCGCUCUCAAUCAGAGAGCCUCUCACAGUCUUUGAGCCUGCCUCUCUCAAACUUGCCCCCCGCCUCUCGGCCCAGUCAAGAUGCUGCUUGCCGAUUCCACAUUCAAUAGAAGCCUUAGCCCAGCAAAUAAAAUACAGCUCUCUUCCUCUCACAGCACUCCUGCUCGCAGAAUCAAAAGCAAUGUCUAUAUAAAAGAGAAACUGCAAGACAUUUAACUAGCAGACAUUUUUUAACAAUGAGGAGGAAAAUUGCUUUCAUGCAGAAUUCUAAGUAAAAGUAUGUGUCAUACAAAAAGGGGGGACAUGGCAACAAGGCCAAGGGUUGUGUCUAGACUCACUCCUUACACCUUGAAUAGGAAAACGAUUCUUUUGGACUCAGAAUCUCAGAAAAAAGCAAAGUAUUCAUUCAUCGGUUGAACGUAAUCAUCUUUUACUGGGGGCAAAAACACUCAGUUUCAUGUCUUGACUACACUGAUAACUAGCAACUAUUAGAUACUUUCAGUGCUAUUAAGCAUUGCUGAAUGAACUGAGGGGUUGAUUCCCUUUGCUUGACUGCUUAACUGAAAUACACCUUGGGAUAAUUGCAGUGGAAGUGUAUGGGAGUAGCAUAUUGAGGUUGUGCAGUGCCCUACAGCCUAUUUAUAGAUGUGCAGCGAACUGCGAUAUGAGAGCGAGGUGAACAUGUGGUUACUUGUGUACCCAUGUGGAUGUUCGCAUACAGCAAUGGAGGACAGGGGGAGUGUGUGGGGCU
ensembl:lncRNA